rnacentral:lncRNA from 1 species
UGUAUGUUCUGGUUCACAACUCUUUUGAGUACUUUAAUCUAUAGAACGCUAUAGGUGAGAGUUGUAGUAUAGGUGUAAGUGUGGUGCUUAGACCUAGAUUACUUGUGGAUAUCCCCUGUCUAGCCGGAUCAUGUGGUAGGCCGCGUAGGUGACAGUUAUGUUGGUCCCCUUUAGUCCACCUCCUGUUAGCAAGACUGGUAGGGUUUAUCGGCCUAUGGAUAAGCAUCCUUUGUGGUGUAUUCUUAUCACGUGGUUCGUCCCAGACAUAGACAUACCCCUUUGAAGUAGAAAAACCAAAGUUAUCCUCUCUAUUCUCCUGCCAUCGCCC